rnacentral:misc_RNA from 1 species
CCCAGAAGCUGAACACACAAAACCCAAUUGAAGAAGACCCACCACCGUUAAAACUGCCAGCAAACUCCUCAGAUCCAUGGUCAACCACCGCCACCAAAGUCUCAGGUAACCUUAUUAAAAAAAAAAAAAGAAAAAGAAAAAGACCAAGCUAAAUAAAAUAAAAUUAAAUUAAGCUCGUAUUUUCUUUCAGCCUUUUGUUAUCGUCUUCUUUACCUCUCUCUCCCUUUCGGGUGCUAAGAGAAAGAUAUUAAGGUGGCGGUGCUCAGAGAUUUCACAUGUGGUUGAAAGAAAGAAAGAAGAG